UACAGCCAUAUCACAUUGAAACACAGGUUUUCAUACAAUCACCAAAGUUAAGCAAUGUCAAACCUGGUGAGUACUUAGAUAGGUAACCACUUGGGAAUACCAGGUGCU